AGAGUUUGAUCCUGGCUCAGGACGAACGCUGGCGGCGUGCCUAACACAUGCAAGUCGAGCGGGGGACUUCGGUCCCCAGCGGCGGACGGGUGAGUAACACGUGAGCAACCUGCCUCAUAGAGGGGGAUAGCCUCCCGAAAGGGAGAUUAAUACCGCAUAUACUCUUGGUAUCACAUGAUGCUUAGAGGAAAGGAGAAAUCCGCUAUGAGAUGGGCUCGCGGCGCAUUAGCUAGUUGGUGAGGUAACGGCUCACCAAGGCCACGAUGCGUAGCCGACCUGAGAGGGUGAUCGGCCACAUUGGAACUGAGACACGGUCCAGACUCCUACGGGAGGCAGCAGUGGGAAUAUUGCACAAUGGGCGAAAGCCUGAUGCAGCAACGCCGCGUGAGUGAAGAAGGCCUUCGGGUUGUAAAGCUCUGUCUUUUGGGACGAUAAUGACGGUACCAAAGGAGGAAGCCACGGCUAACUACGUGCCAGCAGCCGCGGUAAUACGUAGGUGGCAAGCGUUGUCCGGAUUUACUGGGCGUAAAGGAUGCGUAGGUGGAUAUUUAAGUGGGAUGUGAAAUACCCGGGCUUAACCUGGGUGCUGCAUUCCAAACUGGAUAUCUAGAGUGCAGGAGAGGUAAGUGGAAUUCCUAGUGUAGCGGUGAAAUGCGUAGAGAUUAGGAAGAACACCAGUGGCGAAGGCGACUUACUGGACUGUAACUGACACUGAGGCAUGAAAGCGUGGGGAGCAAACAGGAUUAGAUACCCUGGUAGUCCACGCCGUAAACGAUGGGUACUAGGUGUGGGAGUUGUCAUGACUUCCGUGCCGCCGUUAACACAAUAAGUACCCCGCCUGGGGAGUACGGUCGCAAGAUUAAAACUCAAAGGAAUUGACGG
rnacentral:rRNA from 1 species